rnacentral:rRNA from 1 species
GACAGAGGUGCCAAGCGUUAGGCGGAAUCACUUGGGCUUAAAGGCGUGAUGUAGGCGGAGUCGUUAAGUACCUUGUGAAAUCCCAACGGCUCAACCGUGGAACUGCUGGGUAUACUGGCGGUCUUCGAGCCACCUAGGGGCAACUGGAAUCCAAGCGGUGGAGCGGUGAAUGCGUAGAUAUCGGACAGGACACCUGCGGCGAAGGCGGGUUGCUGGGCCGA